rnacentral:lncRNA from 1 species
GUGGCAGGCACUUCAGGUUCUAUAAACUUCAUCAAUAUGAAAGAUAAACUAGCACAAGUUUAAUAUUGAUAUGAUAAUUACAGUUUCAUUUCCCCUGCUUUGUAUCUCUCUCUUUAAUCACCUUUCUACUUUUGCAAUGAUGGAAUUAGUGAGUUUCUUGGAGUUGACAACAAAUUUCUUUGCACAACAUUAGGGAUAGUUGAUUCUUUGUUAACUGUUGGUAUGUUUAUUUAUGCGAUAUAAAUAUGAUAUCCUGUCAUUCUUAGAUCCUAUGAAGGUAUAUUUGAUUGGAAUUGUUCUAAGUUUUUUGAAAUAAUUACUAUAUACACAACAUUUUCAGGAUAUCGUAUGGCAGCUGAAGCUGCUAGGAACGCGUUGCUGGAAAAGGUUAUGGAUAAUAAACAGGAUGCUGGUAAUUAGUAUCUACUUCUCAUUCUCACUUUUGAAUUUGGUAUUUGCCCCUGAUAUAAGUAUCAUGAUUGCUGGUUCAUCAAUUCUGAUAGCUUGUUGCUCCCUAUUUAACUCAAAUCUGUUUCAUAAUCAUAUGUUUUUUUAAUUCAUAAAAGUCUAUUCCAUAUGAUUGUACACUUACUAGAAUAAUUCUCCAUUUGGCCUAUCUAGAAGUUUUCGUUUCUUGAUGUAAUGCUAUUAUCCUUUACAUUUUCUAACUGGCUUCACAUGGAAAUCACCGGCAGAUUGCAUUGUUAAGUGGAAAAUGAUUCACUAUACUUUUAAGCAAUUAAUUGGUCUAAAAUGAAAAGGUGAUAAGUUUUAUAAACUAUGGAUUUAACUUGAAUGUAUGAUUUAUUAGUUGAAUUUUGAUAUGAUGGCAUUGACAUGUCUAAUGUUCAUCCUUGGUGAUCUUGCAGAUAAAUUCAAAGAAGACUUAUUAAAGAUAGCAAUGACCACUUUGAGUUCCAAAAUUCUCUCUCAGGACAAAGAACAUUUUGCAACACUAGCUGUCGAUGCAGUUAUGAGGCUAAAGGUAAAGUUAUUUGCUCUUAGUUACUUGUGAAUUUGAUGCCUUGAGUGUGUUACAUAGGCUAUUUUGUCAUACCUGUCUAUUCUUGUCUCCUGGUAAUAGUAAUUUAGCUAUUAAAAAUGGUUGGAAACUUCUGAAACUGAUGAAAAGAUUUUAGCUGCAUUUACUGAUGGAUGCUGGACAACUUUGUGAGUUCUAAAUUUGUUCUGAUCAAAUGAAUACCAAUAUACCAUUGCAUAACAUCAGUGUGGGACAUCUUGGGUGUGAUUCUCUUCAAGCAUUUACAGACACUAAGGGUCCCUUUGAUUGUAAAGAUGAAAUUUGGGUGGAAAAAACGAAUUCCGGGGAAUUGAAUUGCCUAGAAAUUGUUUUUCUGAGAAUUGUAAAUUAUUGUGUUUGAUUGGUAUAAUUUUUCACGUGAAAAAUGUUGAAAUAAAAGUGUUUUUUGGUGUUUGUUUGGCUUUGUUUUACAUGAAAUUUGUCAAUUGCCUUCCAAUGUAAAAAUGCUGUGCCUUCUGAUUUUAAAGCUAUUCCAGACUUUGUCUUGACUUUUCAGUCUUUUAGUGUUGUAAAUUGCGUAGUUUUUACUAUCCCAGCAAAUGUUGCCUUGUUUCUUUCACAGAAAAUGUUGGUCAGACAACUGGUUUUAAAUAAUAGAAGUAAUUGUUCUGAAAGUAGACACUGGGCUAAGCUUAAUUUGGUUUUCUAAUGUGUGAAGUAAUUUGUGCAGUUCUACAUUUUUUUUAAUAUAUAAUUUGGGUUUAGUUUCUGAAGCUAUGUAUAACACUUCUAUGCUUACUGUAUGCACACGACACUUUUGAUUGAUUAAGUUCUCUUCUGAAUAUCUCAUCCAACAGAUUGAACUUGAACGAGUGGUUCAGAGGAUUGAAAACCAAAAUUCAGCUGGAGAAAUUUUCCACUCUAUGGUUGAAAGUGCAUUGCAUCAAUAUGGUCGUGGCAGUGCUGAUCUUGUAACUGAAUUGUGCAGUGAAGGCAGGCUUUCACAUGUAAGAAUUAUGUCUUUCACUAUUGGUGAAGUGAAGGGAUAUUUGCAUUUAUGUGUCUUUCUUUUUGGUGACUUGCAGGAGUUCAUGCAAAUGCUCAGUCAUGACAUUUCCCAAAGACUUAAAGAUGAAGCAGGAUCAUAGGCAAAAGAAUUUCUGUUCUUUUACAUGUGAUAUGAAUGUACUUCAAGUAGUUGGGUUACUACAUGAGUGCAAAAUUUCUUAGUACGUUGUGAUUUUUGCCUGUGGUUGAUUGCUAAAAUAUAGUUACUAGAAUGUUGUGUUCUCUUUGAGAGUACGAAGAGCUGUGCAGUUGUGGAUCAAUGAAUUGACACAGAUCAUGGUUCAUUUGUAAGAGAAUUCAAUUGGACUAUUGAUAUCUCCGAGCCGUACAUCUUAACCUCUUCGAGGUUCAUUUGCUUGCUUUUGAGUUUCCUUUUCCCUGCUAUUGAACCUCGACAAAUUGAGUUCUAAAUCUGCUUUAUGUUGAUAAUCUUUCCACGAUCUUGUUGAAAGGCGAUGCCUUUCAUAAAUUUUUGUGGUGGUUAUGUUUGGAUGUUAGAGAUUCAUACGCUAAAUGUAAUACGAAAAUAUCCAUGUUUUGUUUCGCAUGAAAUUAAAUUCAUGGUGUGAAACUUUCUAACGAAAGUUAAUGGACAGAUGUAUAUUAAUCGAUAUCGUUAGAAAUUAUUUUAGAAAUACAAUCAGUAUAUUGAUAUGACAAUUUUUUAUUUUUUUUGGAAAUUUGAUUUGACGAAGUAUGUUAAUCUAUAAUCUAUAUCUAUGACGUAUAGUAAAGUAUGGAUGUUCGAGAACCAUUUUUUGGCGAUAAUAAUGUUCUUAAUCAUAUUUUUAAACUUCGCGAUUUACCUGUCAUUCUAUGCUAUUAAAAAAUUAAUUUUAUCUUACAACUACUUAUUUUUUACAGAAAAAAAUUUAUUUAUUCAAAUACGCAGUAACAAUGAAAGAUAAAGAUGCAUUCAAUUGGAAAGUCGAAUUAAUAAACGAGGUUGCCAAAGGGUAAAGAACAUAAUAGAUUUAGAAGUAUUUACUUUGUUGAUCUGUUUAAUUCUCCACGUGCAAUGUAUAAAUGGGGAGUCUUUACUUGACGUUCCUCUCCCCCUCAUUCAACACUUCCUUCUUUACAAGACAGGAAAAUAUAACAUGAAAAAUCAUCUAAAUGAUCGUACAUUUUCAACAAUCUCGAGUUCCCAGCCAUUGCCUUGACAAAUAAUCGAAAGUAGAAAGUGCAUUACGGAAAAUAUGCCACACAAAUAUUCAAAUUUCUUGAGGAACUUGGGAGUUCGAUCUCUUCCAUCCAGUUGUAGAGAAAGUAAGCCUGACCACUUGGAUACAACUUAUAAUUAUUAGGAAAAUAUGAUACAUGAAUUUUAGCUUAUUUAUUAAAAAGAGAGUAAUUGAGACUCUAAAAUAUUCUAACAUAUAUAAAUAAGAUUUUAAUUAAAAAAAAUUACUCUUAAAUUUGUGAUUAUAAUUUAUAUCAAUGCCAUUUAAAAAAAAAAAAAUGUUGUCUUGUGAUUACAGCUCGCACUGCUAUGUGUACAUUAAGAUUUAUAUAAUGUCACGUAACAUUAUAUCCUUUAUUAGUUUAAAAUAUAAUCAAUUUUUUUUAUCUAAUAUUUUCCCUCCCACACCAUAUUUUGUAAUCCGUUAUGUACAUUUUUUUUAUGUACAAGUAGCAAAAGAAGAAAUUACACCGUAAGUGGUAUUUAAAGAUGACGCUUCUAAAAUCAGGUAUUAAGUUUAUUUGAGCAUAAAUUAGGUAUUAAUGAAACCAUAUUGUAGUCUCUCUCAUCUCUCCCUUUCCCAUUCUUGCACUGUCGUCAUCGAAGCUCCGACAUAAGGUUGUGCAUAACGACGUUUUGAUCGAGGCCAGUCACUUAUGGGUUUGGGCUUGGAGUGAUUCAAAUCAAUGUUUAGAUCGUUGUUGCUGUUUAUAGAGGCCCAUCUUGAAUCAAGGUAGCUGUUUAGAGAUAUGGGGUUAUUCUAGAUUUCUGGUUUAUUAUUAUUGUUGUUGUUGUUGGCGGUGGUGGUGUUGUGAAAAUGAUGGUGGUUGAGGUGGUUUUUGGUUGUUUAUGAGUGAUGAUGGAGGUGAUUGUUCAAGUGAUAAUAACAGUAGUGGUUUUGUCAGUUGUAUUACAUGAGGCAUUGGUUUUGGUGAACAUGGGAUGAGGUGCUUGAAGUGGUGGUUGGAUGUGGUUUUUGUGAAGGUUUGACAGCAAUUUUGUGGUGAUUUUUAUGAUGUUUUGACGUUGGUGAUUAACUUGGUUGUUGGUUGUGGUGGAUCAAUGUCCAUUGUUGGUGAUGGCAGAGGUAAGCAUGUCAUAGUCGAUUGAGUUUCUAUGACUAAAUAUCUUGAAUAUGUGACCUAUCAAAGUACACGGGUUAUAUGUCAAAGUGUAUAGGUUACAAGUCACAAAUACCAGAAAUUUGGUUACAGACCAUUUGGACUAUGUCACAUAUUGAAGAGAUUUGAAGAUUUGUUCGCCUGCCAUUGGAUCAAGUCAAUGACACAUGUAACAGGGCACACGUCGAAGUGUAUAGAUCAUAGGUCAUGGAUUCAAAUGAUUUGGUCACAAACCAUUACUUCAGGUUACAUGUCACGAAUCCAAGAGAUUUGGUUAUAGGUCAUUGGAUCAAGUUAUAGGUCAUAUGUCGAAGUGUAUAGGUAGGGAUGUCAAACGGGUCGAACGGCUCAUCGGCUCGGCUGCUCGGCUCGUCAAAACCCGGCUCGUGGGCGGCUCAGGUUUGUCAUUUGCCGAGCAGGGGGCUCAAUCCCACGAGCCGAGCCUGCUCGGCUAGUCAAACCCACGAGUGGCUCGUGGGCACACGGCUCGUGGGCUCGUUAAAAAAUAUUAAUUUUUUUUAAAAAAAAUGUUGACUCGUGGGCUCGUCAAAAAAUAUUAAUUUUUUUUAAAAAAAUGUCCAAAAUGUGCAAGUUACCAAAAAAAAUUAAAAAGAAUUACGAGCUCACGAGUUGCUCGUGAGCUCGGCUGGGCCAGCGAGCUCGUGAGCCAAGCCGAGCUCGUGGGUUAAAGGGUCGAGCCGGCUCGGUCCAUUGCCAUCAUUAUGUAUAGGUCACGUGUCACAAAUUCAAGAAAUCUAGUCAUAUACCAUUGAUUUUUCUGACCUUAGUUACUCAAGUUGGUCACAAAUUCAAUUAAUCAAAUUUUGACGAUGAGAAUUUAAGUUAUUUACUCUAUUAAGUGCUUUAUAAAUUGUAUCAAGAGUUGUUUUUUAUUUUUCAAUUAAAAAACGCUGUAAAUUAUACAAGUACUGCUCAAUCCUAGUCACCAAUGAACUCAGUCGUCACUGAGCGACGAUCAAUUUGUUGCUAAAUAAGUGGCCGAUAGGGUGAAGGUUGGAGGGUGUCGCCAACGAGUGGGAUCGUGAGCGGUUGGGAUGGGUGGGGGUAGAAUAAUUUAAUUUGAUAAUAUUAUUAUUUAAAAUUAAAAAAAUAAAAGUAAGACUUUUACAUUUUGAAACUUAAUCUCUAAUAUUUGAUUUAGUGCAUACUUAAUGGUUGAGAUGUGAUUUUUUCUCACAGCAAAAUUACAAAGUAGGUAGACAAAGUUUGUUGACAAAAUAGAUGUUGACAAGAUGUAGAUCAUUAAUUUAUUUUGAUUUCAAAAUUUGAUUUUGAAAUGAGUUAUAUAGAUCUUGUCAACUCAUAUUUUGUCAACCUCAAAGACAUAGCACCACUCUAAAAUAAUGACUCGCCUGCUAAAGGUGCGAACCGUCUUAUAGAAUUACGACCGAGUUAAUGACUGGACCGGCUAGGGUUAACAAUGCUCUGAACAUUCGGAAACAGGAAAACUCUACUGUCUACUGGAAGUUUCCCGCUUAGGUAUUCUGCAACAAAGUUUUUAUUUUCUUCGUUCAAUUAUGUUCAUUAGAUCUCUUGUUUUUAUCAGUGAAAAUUUUGUUCAUGUUAAACACUGGUUAAGGCUUCUUCGAUUUUUUUUUUUAAUAUUUUUAUUUAGACUGAUUGAUAUUUAAUCAUUGAUGAAUAUUUGGAUUCCAGAAAAUCAUUAACGGAUAUUUGGAUUCUAUAUUCACUUUUCAACUUCUGUUCCCAUGGCGGUAUGUAGAUGCUUACUUCACUUUGAGUGGUUGGUUAUUCAUUUUCUGUGAACUUGCGAUAAUAAUGUGAUUUGAUUGUGUAGGUAGAAAGACUUUUCAAAAAUGAAGCUACCGAAGAAAAGGGUGAGCGAGCCAGAAUGGUGAGUCUUGUAUAAUAUAAUAAAAUAAAUCAUUUUGAAACAUUUUGUUAAUGGCGCUUUAUUAGUAGAAAAUUAGAUAUGAAUCACGGUGGACUGGCUUGUUUCUAGACUGACAAUUGUUUUUUGUGGGUGUUAAUAUAAGGCCUCCUUUAUUGGAGCAAUGGCGAUUGCUGACUUGGUGAAGACAACCUUGGGGCCUAAGGGGAUGGUAAAAUUGCUUGUUCUUCUGAUUACGUGUAUCGAUUGUCGAUAUUUUUCUUUGUUUACUCUCUGUGUAACUUCCCUUUGUAGGAUAAAAUUUUACAAUCAACUGGCAGAGGGCACAGUGUUACAGUUACGAAUGAUGGUGCCACCAUCCUAAAGUCUCUACAUAUUGACAACCCUGCUGCCAAAGUCCUUGUGGGUAUCCUUGAUGUUAAGUUAUUGUUGUGUUUCUUUGCUUCACCAUUUAAGGAAUAUGAUUUUUACCAUGAAAAAACUAACUUCUAUUGCUAUGUGUAAUGGUGGAUUUUGAAGCUUGAGCUGUUGAAUGUUACUUACACGAUAUAGGUCACAAUCCUAAAAAUGUUGGUGUUCAAGUGUUAUUUUCAAGUAUUCAAGUAUCUGCAGUCUAAAAUUACUCUUGUAUGAAAAUUGAACAUGGCAAGCUGAUUUGAUUCUUCAUUUCUUCUCAAAUCAGAUUUGUCCAGAAGCUAAAACUAUAGUAGUAGUCUGUAUAGCUAUUGUAUUAGCAACUAGCAAGCCUUGAUUCUAUUGUCAGACAUCUCAAAAGUCCAAGAUGAUGAAGUCGGCGAUGGAACCACUUCAGUUGUUGUCUUGGCUGGGGAGCUUUUGAGGGAGGCGGAGAAGCUGGUAAAUUCAAAAAUCCAUCCGAUGACAAUUAUUGCAGGUAAGUUCUAUGUUUUUUUUUAAUGAUCUUAUUUCUGAUUUCACCUUUCUUACUCAUUAUUUCGUGUGUGCUAUUUCCAUAGUGGUGGCAGGCACUUCAGGUUCUAUAAACUUCAUCAAUAUGAAAGAUAAACUAGCACAAGUUUAAUAUUGAUAUGAUAAUUACAGUUUCAUUUCCCCUGCUUUGUAUCUCUCUCUUUAAUCACCUUUCUACUUUUGCAAUGAUGGAAUUAGUGAGUUUCUUGGAGUUGACAACAAAUUUCUUUGCACAACAUUAGGGAUAGUUGAUUCUUUGUUAACUGUUGGUAUGUUUAUUUAUGCGAUAUAAAUAUGAUAUCCUGUCAUUCUUAGAUCCUAUGAAGGUAUAUUUGAU